UUUUCUCUCACACAGUUUGAUAAAUCUGGGCCAUAGUCUCUUCCAUCUAUGAAAAUAUUUCUGCUUAUCAGGACAAAAACAGAAAAGUGAACAGUAGAAAGCACACGCCAUGCAGUGAGGCCGGCCAUAGUUGCCAUGCUCCAGCUAAGCCCUGCCCAUUGCAGGGAGGAUGGGAAAAUGACAGUUAGAAACAGUUGUAAAUUUAGCAAUAUGGGAAAUAAGUGGCACAGUGCAAAGUACUUUUAGAUCCCCCUGUACAGAUCUCAUCCUUAUCAUCACUGAUCUCUAUAGGGGAUGGUGGUCACCAAUGUAACAUCAUGUGAUAAGGGGGGAGUUUACAGUUACACUUACUCCUGGAGGGUACAAUUCCCAAUCUACACAAACUGCCCACUGCUCUUAUCACCUAUAUUUGCCCUUAUACAAGUAAAGUCCAUUUUGGGGAUUAUGUGGAUUAUAUUCCCUGCACUAAAAUACACUUAAAAGAAUUGGCUAAAUUCUACCCAGUCUCUUCUGGCCCCUAAUUGAAUAGUCCCAUUCCUCUGGGGAAUGGUCCAUAUCCACAUCUAUCUACCUCUUCUAUGUCACUCCUUUUAUUAUUAGUUGCCUGUGUGUGGUAAAAACACCUAAAAAUAAGAGAAAAGCAAAUAUUACUUUAAUGUCCGUUUAUUUGUCUUUUCUAUUUCUUUCUUUGGUGCUUGUUCUGACAUGCCAGGGCCGCCUUCAGGGGGAUACAGCCAGUACUCCAGUAAGGGGCCCCAGGCCCCUGUUGCAUCCACCUGCAGGCGCCACAGCACAGAAGCAGGGGACCACUCUUUACAAAGCAGUCUCCUGCUUCCAUGGCUGGUCCAGGACACAUUAAACUAUAAGAGCAUCUUACAGAUGCGCCUAUAGUUCAAUGCAGCGCACGGCAUUGGCUCCUCACCUUUUCAAUCACUCUUGUGGGCUGCCCACAAUAUGCAGGCACCGAUAAGAGGCCCGGGUGUCCAUCCUCUGUGCUCCGGCACUUGAAUUUCCAUCAUCAUCAUGCGCCAGAGCACAGACCAGAGGAGUCAACAGAAGAGAAGAGGCCAUGGACCGCGCUGGAGGUUAUGUGGUUACAUGUUGUGAAAGGAAGAAUUUGUCAUGACGGUCUGGGCCAGAAGGCGAAGAAAAAGGAAAGUGAACGACUCUGAUCAGAAAAGAUAUCACCUGAUGUUACUUCAUGUAAUCACUUAAAUGAAAACACACAUCUUUACAAUGAUGAGGAACUGAGCUCAAAGUAUAUUAGAAAGUAAUGGAACAUGUUAACUUAAAGCUGGAAAACACCUUAAGUCACUGUUAUUUGUUAUUUCUUCUCAAAUUUGGUUGGGAAAUCAACCCUGAGUUUUCAUUGCUCGUAGUAAUGGAACAUUUUCACUAGAUGGCAGCAGAAUAGCUAAUUUUACUUGUCCUUUUAUGCUCUUCAACCAUGUUUAGCUUGAGAGACACACAGAA